UGUUUGCCUUGGCCAGGGUCA
rnacentral:misc_RNA from 1 species